UCCUGGAUCUGAUAUCUGUUUCCUUCCCCAGAUCACAGAAGUUUUCAGCUAUGAUUUCCUCUAAGAAAUUUUCUGCUCCCUUUUCUCUCUUCUUCUUCUGGGACUUCUAUGAUACAAAUAUUAUUACGUUAGAUGGAGUCAAAUGUGAUGGAGAUCACUUGUGAUCCAUAAUUCUUCUCUCUCUCUUUUUUUCAGCUUCAUUAUUUUCCAUUAUUUUAUCUUCUAUAUUUCUUAUUCAUUCCUUUGCUUCUCCCAUCCUUGUGGGCAUUACAUUCAGUUAGUUUUGAAUCUCAGUUAUUGCAUUUUUCAUUUCUGAUUGUUCUUUAACUCUUUUAUUUCUGCACUAAGGGCCUCCCUGAGGUCUUCCCUGCUUUUCUCAAGCCCAGCAAGUAUCCUUAUGAUUGUUGCUUUAAAUUCUCCAUCAGGCAUAUUAGUUAUACCUGUUUUGGUUAGAUCUCUGGCCAUGACCUUAUCUUGUUCUUUCUUUUGGGAUGAAUUCCUGACAUUUUGUCCUGGCAUUUUGUCCAAGUCGCUAUCUUAUUCUGUGUUUCAGAAAAGCUUGUUUUAUUUCCUGCUCCUGGGAGUAAUGGUUUUAUGAAGAAGAGGUCAUAAAGUGUCCAGGACCUAGUGCUUCAGGGAGUGUCUCUUAUGUGUGCCGCAUGAGCUCUACUGCUAUGUUUUGGCUGCUCUAUCCUUUGGGCCAGUUGUCUUUAGAAGGUCUUGCCUGCAGUGGACAGUGUUUGGUCCUUGGCCAGUGUGGCAAGGUUUUACUAGGUGUUCUCUUGUCUGCUUGUUACAUGAGACCAGAUGCUACUUCCACUAGAACUGAAGCCUUGCAGAACUCUCUGGCCUGGAGUUGUGGUUAUGUAUGUGGGUUUCUACUGGUCUUCUGGGGAAGGGACAUGCCUGUGCUGGUCUUUAGGCACACUUGCCUGAGAAAAGUGGUAUUGGCAGAACGUGUGGUGGCAGGACUUGGUGAAGGUGCAGAACAACACAGGUAUUCACGUUCAUGGCUGGUGGGAAUACAAAAUGUUACUGCUGCUUUGCAAGAUGUUUAGCAGUUUUGUUUUGUUUUGUUUUGUUUUUUUGUUUUUACCAAACUAAAUGAUUUCACCAUAUGAUCUAGUAAUUGUGCUUCUUGGAAUUUACCCAAAGAAGUUGAAAAGUAAUGUCCAUAUAAAAAUAUGCAUAUGGAUGUUUAUAGCAGCUUUUUUUCAUGAUUACCAAAGCUUGGAAUCAACCAAGAUGUUUUUUUUUAAGUAGGUGAAUGGAUAAACAGUGGUAUAUCCAUACAAAGGAAUAGUAUUCAGCAAUAAAAAGAAAAGCUAUCAAGCCAUGAAAAGAGAUGGAAGAAGCUUCAGUGCAUAUUGCUAAGUGAAAAUUGCCAUCUUCAAAGGCUACAUCUUGCAUGAUUCCAACAAUAUGAAGUUCAAGAAAGAUGGCAUGACCAUCCACGUAAAAAAAAAUGAGAAAAAUAUCGGAAAACUGCUGAAACCAAUAAAUGAUUAUAGCAAGGUUGCUCCACACCUUCCACACCUGUGAGAAAGGCCAGACUCCAGAACACAGACAACACCAAAUGAUGGCUACCAACAAGUAUGUGGAGCAACACAAAC